AUGAAACCCAGCAUUAUCUGGGCGCGACACACGGAGUAUCUUCAGGUUGCCAUCUCUACGACCACCGAUGUGACGGAAUGCACCGUCCUGAUCGUGCAUACGCCGGAGUGGAGAAUCUCUUUCGCCAGGCCGGGAGACGACAGGUGGACACUAGUCUCCCAGGAUGAGAUCUUCGUUGGCAACGUUCUUUACAAUGACAAGGAUGGCUUGUUCUACAUUUUGUAUCUGAAUGGCUCUAUUGGUACUUUAAAUCUUUGUGAGCCUUCACCGUCAGUGACCAUGAUCAUGCGCAAAGUGUUAGGUUCGUCCGGAUAUCGUACCAUGUACCCUGUCCACUACCAGAAACUGGACUAUUCCCCACGGCUAAAAACCGACAGGAAAUUGGAAAAUACCGGUUUCAUGCCUCGAGCAACGUGA
rnacentral:rRNA from 1 species